AACUUUUGGCAAUGGAUCACUUGGCUCUCGCAUCGAUGAAGAACGCAGCGAAAUGCGAUAAGUAAUGUGAAUUGCAGAAUUCAGUGAAUCAUCCAAUCUUUGAACGCACCUUGCGCUCCUUGGUAUUCCGAGGAGCAUGCCUGUUUGAGUGUCAUUAAUAUAUAUAUCAAACUUCUCUUUGUUGAGUGGUUUGGAUGUGGGGGUUUGCUGGCUUUGUUCAGCUCUCCUAAAAUGCAUUAGCAGAACAAACCUUGUUCAUUGGUGUGAUAAACUAUCUACGCUAUUGAAUGUGAGGGGCAGUUCAGCUUUCUAACAGUCUUUGGACAAUUCAUCAUUAAUGUGACCUCAAAUCAGGUAGGACUACCCGCUGAACUUAAGCAUAUCAAUAAGCGGAGG
rnacentral:misc_RNA from 1 species